CAGUAGCCGCGGUAAUACGAAGGGUGCAAGCGUUAAUCGGAAUUACUGGGCGUAAAGCGCGCGUAGGUGGUUCGCCAAGUUGGAUGUGAAAUCCCCGGGCUCAACCUGGGAACUGCAUCCAAAACUGGCGAGCUAGAGUAUGGUAGAGGGUGGUGGAAUUUCCUGUGUAGCGGUGAAAUGCGUAGAUAUAGGAAGGAACAUCAGUGGCGAAGGCGACCACCUGGACUGAUACUGACACUGAGGUGCGAAAGCGUGGGGAGCAAACAGGAUUAGAUACCCCCGUAGUCCCUGUCUCUUAUAC
rnacentral:rRNA from 1 species